AGUCUCAUCGGACCCCCGGGUGGGGGUGGGGGGUGCUGGGUCCCGGUGCUGGAUCCUCUCUGGAUCCCGGAUCUGGAUAUUCCCAUUGGAGCCCGGUUCUGGUUCUGGAUCCCGGUGCUGGGUCCCGGUUCUGGAUAUUCCCACUGGGUCCCAGUUCUGGUUCUGGAUCCUCUCACUGGAUCCCGGAUCUGGAUAUUCCCAUUGGAGCCCAGUUCUGGUUCUGGAUCCCGGUGCUGGGUCCCGGUUCUGGUUCUGGAUAUUCCCACUGGGUCCCAGUUCUGGAGAUUCCCAUUGGAGCCCAGUUCUGGAUUUCAUCACUGCAUCCUGGUUCUGGAUCUUCUCAUUUGACCUCGGUUCUGGAUCACGGUUCUGGAUGUCCUCACAGAGUCCAGUCCUGGUUCUGGAUUUCCUCACGGAGUCCAGUUCUGGUUCUGGAUUUCCUCACUGGACCCCGGUUCUGGAUUUCCUCACGGAGUCCAGUUCUGGUUCUGGAUCCCCUCACUGGAUCCCGGUUCUGGAUCCCAGUCCUUGAUCCAGGCCCGACCCCGGAUCCCGGUGCCGGAGGAGGUCGGGGAUUCCCCAGCCCGGGAUCAGUCCUGGAUCAGUUCUGGAUCCCCUGGGACGGUUCUGGAUCCCGUGGAUCGCUUGGCGUCAUCCCAAACCUCUCCAGGCAGAUCCCAAACCUCUCCAGGCAGAUCCCAAACCUCUCUGCUGAAUCCCAAACAACUUCCAGACAGAUCCUAAAUCUUUCCAGACAGAUACUAAAUCCUUCCAGGCUGAUCCCAAACCCCUGGGGCAGAUCCCAAACCCCUCAGGGCAGAGAUGGAUCCCAAACCUCUCCAGGUGGAUCCCAAACCCCCAGGGCUGAUCCCAAACCUUUCAGGUGGAUCCCAAACCCCUGAGAUGGAUCCUAAGUCUUUCCAGGCCAAUCCCAAACCCCUGGGUCGGACCCCAAACCCCUCCAGAUGGACCCCAAACCCCUGAGAUGGAUCCAAAACCUCUCCAGGGUGAUCCCAAACCCCUCAGACUGAUCUGAAACCUCUCCAGGGUGAUCCCAAACCUCUCCAGGGCUGAUCCCAAACUUCUCCAGGUAGACCCCAAACCCCUGAGAUGGAUCCCAAACCCCUGCAGGUGGACUCCAAACCCGAGAUGGAUCCGAAACCUUUCCAGAUGGACCCCAAACCCCUCCAGGUGGAUCCCAAACCUCUCCAGGGCUGAUCCCAAACUUCUCCAGGUGGACCCCAAACCCCUGAG
rnacentral:lncRNA from 1 species